GUCCUCUCUGGUAUUUUGUCAUACCAGAUGGCCAGCAAGAAGAGAUCUUGAUUGUUGAUCCGGCUAAACCCAAAGGCGAAAUCCCCAGAAGGUGAUUUCCAAGAAGCAUCCUCAGAAGCAACAAGAGAUGAUCCUAAACUAAUGUUUGCAUUUUGUGCUUCUAAAAGAAAUGGUAAAGAGAGAAUACUGCACAGGACAAGGUGGUGACGAAUCAGAAAACCCAUAGCUAAUUUAGAUUAGCAUGCACAAAAG
rnacentral:misc_RNA from 1 species